rnacentral:misc_RNA from 1 species
AACGCACCUUGCGCUCCUUGGUAUUCCUCGGAGCAUGCCUGUUUGAGUAUCAUGAAAUCCUCAAAGUAAAUCUUUUGUUGACUCAAUUGGUUCCACUUUGGUAUUGGAGGUCUUGCAGCUUCACACCUGCUCCUCUUUGUUCAUUAGCUGGAUCUCGGUGUUAUGCUUGGUUCCACUCGGCGUGAUAAGUUAUCUAUCGCUGAGGACACUUUAAAAAGUGGCCAAGGUAAAUACAGAUGAACCGCUUCUAAUAGUCCAUUGACUUGGACAAAUAUCUUUAUGAUCUGAUCUCAAAUCAGGUAGGACUACCCGCUGAACUUAA